rnacentral:rRNA from 1 species
AAUGAACGCUGGCGGCGUGCUUAACACAUGCAAGUCGAACGGUGAACCCGGAGCUUGCUCUGUGGGAUCAGUGGCGAACGGGUGAGUAACACGUGAGCAGCCUGCCCCUGACUCUGGGAUAAGCGCUGGAAACGGCGUCUAAUACUGGAUAUGUGACGUGACCGCAUGGUCUGCGUUUGGAAAGAUUUUUCGGUUGGGGAUGGGCUCGCGGCCUAUCAGCUUGUUGGUGAGGUAAUGGCUCACCAAGGCGUCGACGGGUAGCCGGCCUGAGAGGGUGACCGGCCACACUGGGACUGAGACACGGCCCAGACUCCUACGGGAGGCAGCAGUGGGGAAUAUUGCACAAUGGGCGCAAGCCUGAUGCAGCAACGCCGCGUGAGGGAUGACGGCCUUCGGGUUGUAAACCUCUUUUAGCAGGGAAGAAGCGAAAGUGACGGUACCUGCAGAAAAAGCGCCGGCUAACUACGUG